rnacentral:rRNA from 1 species
GAUGAACGCUGGCGGCGUGCCUAAUACAUGCAAGUCGAACGAAGAUCUAGCUUGCUAGAUCUUAGUGGCGAACGGGUGAGUAAUACAUAAAUAAUCUGCCCAUAUGACUGGGAUAACUAUUGGAAACGAUAGCUAAUACCGGAUAGGUUGAUCGGAGGCAUCUCUGAUGAAUUAAAGUAGGAUUUCUACACAAAUGGAUGAGUUUAUGGCGCAUUAGUUAGUUGGUGGGGUAACGGCCUACCAAGACGAUGAUGCGUAGCCGACCUGAGAGGGUGACCGGCCACACUGGGACUGAGACACGGCCCAGACUCCUACGGGAGGCAGCAGUAGGGAAUUUUCGGCAAUGGGCGCAAGCCUGACCGAGCAACGCCGCGUGAGUGAUUAAGACCUUCGGGUUGUAAAGCUCUGUUGUAAGGGAAGAACAUUCAGGAUAGGAAAUGAUCUUGAACUGACGGUACCUUACCAGAAAGCCACGGCUAACUACGUGCCAACAGCCGCAGUAAUAC